GACGAACGCUGGCGGCGUGCUUAACACAUGCAAGUCGAACGGAAAGACCCUGCUUUUGUGGGGUGCUCGAGUGGCGAACGGGUGAGUAACACGUGAGUAACCUGCCCUUGACUUUGGGAUAACUUCAGGAAACUGGGGCUAAUACCGGAUAGGAGCUCCUGCUGCAUGGUGGGGGUUGGAAAGUCUCGGCGGUUGGGGAUGGACUCGCGGCUUAUCAGCUUGUUGGUGGGGUAGUGGCUUACCAAGGCUUUGACGGGUAGCCGGCCUGAGAGGGUGACCGGCCACAUUGGGACUGAGAUACGGCCCAGACUCCUACGGGAGGCAGCAGUGGGGAAUAUUGCACAAUGGGCGGAAGCCUGAUGCAGCAACGCCGCGUGCGGGAUGACGGCCUUCGGGUUGUAAACCGCUUUCGCCUGUGACGAAGCGUGAGUGACGGUAAUGGGUAAAGAAGCACCGGCUAACUACGUG
rnacentral:rRNA from 1 species